CUCCAGUGCCGGCCUGCCGGCGACGCCGACAGCCGUCCGUCGCUGCGCGUCCCAGCACCAGGCGGAAGCAACAAGACGACCGGAAGGCGAGGAUCCGCCGGACCAUCGGCAGGAUGCAGAGGCAGAGGCAGGGUGGCGCAGUCGGCUGCUCAAACAGCGGGCCGCCAGUGUAGCGGCGUGCUGAGCAGACCACCAGUCAUUACUUGUUGUGUAGUAUUCACAGUUUCUUGAUCGCUCUUAUUCGGUCCGCUCUUCGCCGUCUGACUACUGCGACGUCUGUGGAGGCGGUAGCGGGCUAACCUAACGAGGC